AUGGCGAUGGCGAUCCUACUGUCCCAUAUAGACGGUGUAUUUUAUUAACUACUCAUACAGUAUAAGAAAGCAAAAAAAAGCGAGAAAAAAUUUUAACAUCGGAAAAAUUGAACAACAAAUUACACAGGCACGCAAACGCGUAUUUGGUUUGGAGUGUGAAUGAAACGUACUUACCGCUGGUGUCAUGCCAAAAGCAUAAACUUGCGCAAAGAGCUCAUACUUUUGUGAUUACUUUUAUUCCCGUGCAGAUUCAGUGAAUUUUUCCUCCGUAAUGGGAUUUGUGAGGAUUUUAGAAAUGUCCAAAUGGUGCAAACUAAAUUAGGAUUUCUAGGCGCAAACUCACUUCCCACCCCAUCAGCAUCGUCACCGCCAUCAGCUUUAACACGUGUGUUUCGCCGCUGGGCCUUCCGCCGCUGGGCCCAACGUUUCUUUCUCUGCGGUCUACGGCAAGCGAAGUUUGACAGCGCAGUUAUAUCACCACGUGUAAAACCUACACAAUGUACGCUUAUGUGCGCUUCAAGGACGACGGCGUGAAGGUUGUCUGCACGAAGAAAGAAUUAAGAGAUUCUCUCCGUAUAGUAUCAAAGACUUCGACAACAAACAAUGGUACAGUGUACGCUGGGAUGACGAAAACAGCGGAUAUUUCAGAGCCCAGAUUAUGAAGUUGUUUGUAACCAAAGAGGAGGCUGAUGCUUCCGCGGAAAGCUCGAGCAAGAGAUUUUCCUGCCCCCAAAUGCCUAUGGACAGCAGUUUAGAAGGCGACACCGAAGCGAGUGGAGAAUCCUACAGAAAGCACAAAAGAGAAAAACAAGUGCCAAAAUCUCGUGUGAAGGAUACCGAGGCACAGUUUAGGAAAAAACAGCUGGACCUUUUGUUUCCUCUUGAAGCAUGAAAGGGAGGAGAUUGUCUUCGGCAAGAAGUUGUGAGGCUGCGCAAGAUCUUCAAAGCAGGUUUGUGAUACAAUUAUCAUGUUGGGCACUUCAUUGAGAUCAUCCACUUUGCAUGCACUUUCGAUUUCUCUUUUGAUAAUUACUCUGUUGCCUUUUACCGUGCCCAGUAAUGUAAGUUGUUUAUCUGUUCUUCUAUUAUGUGACCUGCACAGCAUGCAGUAGCAUGUCACAUUUUGUUAGAAAUGAUGAAAACACUCAUAGUUAUUUGUUAGUGCAUUUUCAAAUAUCUGCUGCUUUAUUUCGUUUACCUUUAAUCUAAUUUUUUUUCUCCAUAUUUUACUAUGCAUGAUCCUCGGCAUCCUCAAUUAUAUGUCAAGUUCCCAAACCUGAAAGCUGACAUAGCACGCCCUCUGAAACCUGAAGCUGAGCAGCAACAGUGCCCUUUAUAGGGCACUGUUGCUGCUGCUAAAAUUAAACAUUGACAGCUGCGCAGUCUCAUCUUCUUUAAUUUAAGCUGGGGGAAAGAAGCAGAAUAAAAUUCCACUGGUGUUAAAUUUUUUGCUGUUCUCUGAUCUGAUGUCAGCAAAUGAGAAAUUGUAGCAUGUGUCAGCCAUGUUGUUAAUGGAUGAAGCUCUGCCUCUGUAGUUUUUAUUGCGACAGAUGGUUGCCUGUUACUGCAGCUAUUUGAAUAUUAGUUUCCGAUUUAGUGUCGUAUUUGUUUCAUGUUUUCUGGAAUAACGCAUCUCGAGCUAGUUCGUUGAACAUAACAAGGCAAAAACAGCGCGCACUUGACGUGGACGGACAGAAGGAACACAGUGCCUGUGUUCUGUGUUUUUGAGCUUUAAAAAGUGAUUUACUUAUGUGUUUGGUUCUAGAUUUCUUCAGCCACUCCUCGUCCAGAAGUAUCCAUUUAAGGAGGUUUACCUCGCGGUAAAAAUUGCGGACAUCAUGAAGGUACCGACGCCACCAACUCAGCAGUUAACACCACCACCUCAGCAGCCAAAUGAGGAAGGUUAACUGUAGAGGGCUCACCUCACUUGACGAUUUAAAUAAAGUG